rnacentral:rRNA from 1 species
UUUUGGACAAUGGGGGAAACCCUGAUCCAGCCAUCCCGCGUGUGCGAUGAAGGCCUUCGGGUUGUAAAGCACUUUUGGCAGGAAAGAAAUCGCAUAGGUUAAUAACCUGUGUGGAUGACGGUACCUGCAGAAUAAGCACCGGCUAACUACGUGCCAGCAGCCGCGGUAAUACGUAGGGUGCAAGCGUUAAUCGGAAUUACUGGGCGUAAAGCGUGCGCAGGCGGUUCGGAAAGAAAGAUGUGAAAUCCCAGGGCUUAACCUUGGAACUGCAUUUUUAACUCCCGAGCUAGAGUAUGUCAGAGGGGGGUGGAAUUCCGCGUGUAGCAGUGAAAUGCGUAGAUAUGCGGAGGAACACCGAUGGCGAAGGCAGCCCCCUGGGAUAAUACUGACGCUCAGCACGAAA